UACGAAGGGGGCUAGCGUUGUUCGGAAUUACUGGGCGUAAAGGGCGCGCAGGCGGCCCUCCAAGUCAGGCGUGAAAGCCCCGGGCUCAACCCGGGAAUAGCGCUUGAGACUGGGGGGCUUGAGUUCGGGAGAGGAGAGUGGAAUUCCCAGUGUAGAGGUGAAAUUCGUAGAUAUUGGGAAGAACACCAGUGGCGAAGGCGACUUACUGGACACAUAUUGACGCUGAGGUGCGAAAGCGUGGGGAGCAAACAGG
rnacentral:rRNA from 1 species